AUACGAAGGGUGCUAGCGUUGUUCGGAAUUACUGGGCGUAAAGAGCAUGUAGGCGGAUUGAUUAGUCAGAGGUGAAAGCCCCGAGCUCAACUUGGGAAUUGCCUUUGAUACUGUCAAUCUAGAGACCGAGAGAGGUGAGUGGAAUUCCCAGUGUAGAGGUGAAAUUCGUAGAUAUUGGGAAGAACACCAGUGGCGAAGGCGGCUCACUGGCUCGGUACUGACGCUGAGAUGCGAAAGCGUGGGGAGCAAACAGGAUUAGAUACCCCAGUAGUCC
rnacentral:rRNA from 1 species